AAAAUAAUUAAGAUUAAUGAUAGCACCCAUCUGCUGUUUUUAAGCUAUAUGUAUGAUGACAUUUUGCUUUAGCAUUAGUGCACUACUAGAAGACUAUUAAGGUGUUUGGUCCAGGACAAAAAUUAACACUAAUCCUAUGAAUAAAAAGCAAUUUUUCUCACCAGAAAUACGAAAGGAAGGCUUACCACAUCAGGGUAGGUAGUUAUGGCGCAGGCUUCAAUGGCAUUUAGGAAGCAUUCAUUUGGCCCAUGCUGCAACAUGUUAUAAGUAAUUAUAUUAACAUAAUCAGUGGGAUAUCAGCCAGCAUAAUUAGAGGACUGUCCAAUUUGCAUAAUUUUAA
rnacentral:misc_RNA from 1 species